UACAGAGGGGGCAAGCGUUGUUCGGAAUUACUGGGCGUAAAGGGCGCGUAGGCGGCCUGUUAAGUCAGACGUGAAAUCCCCUGGCUCAACCCGGGAACUGCGUCCGAUACUGGCAGGCUUGAAUCCGGGAGAGGGAUGUGGAAUUCCAGGUGUAGCGGUGAAAUGCGUAGAUAUCUGGAGGAACACCGGUGGCGAAGGCGGCAUCCUGGACCGGCAUUGACGCUGAGGCGCGAAAGCCAGGGGAGCAAACAGG
rnacentral:rRNA from 1 species